UAUCAGACUUGUUGCAAAGUUGUUCCAACAAGUCUGAUGCAGUCAUGAGUCAUGACAUGACAAUAUAAAUAUUGUUAUACCAUCAACCGUGUAACAUUCUUGUUAUAUCAUGACUGUAUCAGACUUGUUAGAACAACCUUGUAACAAGUCUGAUA